CCUAUCACAGAGCUGUUCCGUCUUCGACUACAGGAAGUUGUGGUGUGAUCUACAUGGAAAAAAGGUGGGAAAGCACCAGAGCGGGCAUGUGUUGCGAGAGCAAAGGAGCAUUGCCAUAAUUCAUCUUCAGCACAUGAGCAAAGAUUUGUGAAGUGUCGUGAGCUCCCGCUGAAAGCAGUCGCUGCAGAACCCAUGGAAGAAGAUGCCAGG